rnacentral:rRNA from 1 species
UACGUAGGGUGCAAGCGUUUGUCCGGAAUUAUUGGGCGUAAAGAGCUCGUAGGCGGUUUGUCACGUCUGCUGUGAAAUCCCGAGGCUCAACCUCGGGCCUGCAGUGGGUACGGGCAGACUGGAGUGCGGUAGGGGAGAAUGGAAUUCCUGGUGUAGCGGUGGAAUGCGCAGAUAUCAGGAGGAACACCGAUGGCGAAGGCAGUUCUCUGGGCCGUAACUGACGCUGAGGAGCGAAAGCGUGGGGAGCGAACAGG